rnacentral:rRNA from 1 species
UACGGAGGAUGCAAGCGUUCUCCGGAAUGCUUGGGCGUAAAGGGUCCGCAGGUGGCACUGUAAGUCUGCUGUCAAAGAAUGAGGCUUAACCUCAUCAAGGCAGUGGAAACUACAUAGCUAGAGUACGGUCGGGGUAGAAGGAAUUCCUGGUGUAGCGGUGAAAUGCGUAGAGAUCAGGAAGAACACCGGUGGCGAAAGCGUUCUGCUAGACCUGUACUGACACUGAGGGACGAAAGCUAGGGGAACGAAUGGG